rnacentral:rRNA from 1 species
AUUGAACGCUGGCGGCAUGCUUUACACAUGCAAGUCGAACGGCAGCACGGGGGCAACCCUGGUGGCGAGUGGCGAACGGGUGAGUAAUAUAUCGGAACGUACCCGGAAAUGGGGGAUAACGUAGCGAAAGUUACGCUAAUACCGCAUAUGCCCUAAGGGGGAAAGCGGGGGAUUCGCAAGAACCUCGCGUUUUCGGAGCGGCCGAUAUCGGAUUAGCUAGUAGGUGAGGUAAAGGCUCACCUAGGCGACGAUCCGUAGCUGGUCUGAGAGGACGACCAGCCACACUGGAACUGAGACACGGUCCAGACUCCUACGGGAGGCAGCAGUGGGGAAUUUUGGACAAUGGGCGCAAGCCUGAUCCAGCCAUGCCGCGUGAGUGAAGAAGGCCUCGGUUGUAAGACGUCUUUCUACG